rnacentral:rRNA from 1 species
GGAAUAUUGGACAAUGGGCGCAAGCCUGAUCCAGCCAUGCCGCGUGGGUGAAGAAGGCCUUAGGGUUGUAAACCCCUUUCAGCGGGGAAGAUAAUGACGGUACCCGCCGAAGAAGCCCCGGCUAACUCCGCGCCAGCAGCCGCGGUAAUACGGAGGGGGCUAGCGUUGUUCGGAAUUACUGGGCGUAAAGCGCGCGUCGGCGGACCUGCAAGUCAGGGGUGAAAUCCCGAGGCUCAACCUCGGAACUGCCUUUGAUACUGCGGGUCUCGAGUCCGGGAGAGGUGAGUGGAAUUCCUAGUGUAGAGGUGAAAUUCGUAGAUAUUAGGAAGAACACCAGUGGCGAAGGCGGCUCACUGGCCCGGUACUGACGCUGAGGCGCGAAAGCGUGGGGAGCAAAC